CAUCGGCAGUGCGACUGGCGUAGCCGGAGUACCGGCAUGGAGCGUUUAUCGACGACGGCAUCGACCGCCUGGGUGCCGACG
rnacentral:ncRNA from 18 species